AUUGAACGCUGGCGGCAUGCCUUACACAUGCAAGUCGAACGGUAACAGGCCUUCGGAUGCUGACGAGUGGCGAACGGGUGAGUAAUACAUCGGAACGUGCCUAGUAGUGGGGGAUAACUACUCGAAAGAGUGGCUAAUACCGCAUGAGAUCUACGGAUGAAAGCAGGGGAUCGCAAGACCUUGUGCUACUAGAGCGGCCGAGGGCAGAUUAGGUAGGUGGUGGGAUAAAAGCUUACCAAGCCGACGAUCUGUAGCUGGUCUGAGAGGACGAUCAGCCACACUGGGACUGGGACACGGCCCAGACUCCUACGGGAGGCAGCAGUGGGGAAUUUUGGACAAUGGGCGAAAGCCUGAUCCAGCAAUGCCGCGUGCAGGAUGAAGGCCUUCGGGUUGUAAACUGCCUUUGUACGGAACGAAAAGCCCCGGGUUAAUACCCUGGGGUCAUGACGGUACCGUAAGAAUAAGCACCGGCUAACUACGUGCCAGCCGCCGCCGUAA
rnacentral:rRNA from 1 species